AUACCUAUUCAGGGGUGAAUGAGUUAAAUUAUUAAAAACAUUCAAGGAGAAAACAAAAUAAUACACCAUUCAGGUUUGAUCAGGACAAUUGUUUUAUAGGUGAACACAAUCUUGUUGAUAGUAUUAUUUAAAAGUAAAAGACUAUCAUGCAUUGUCACUGUUCACUGACUAUGCUGGAAGUACAUAAGUUUUAUGAUAAGGAGCAAAUGAUAACAAAACCAGCUUUUCCCGCUGUUUUGUUAGGUUAUUGAAAAACUGACACAGACAUUAUUCUUCUUCAUUACAAAGCGAUAUAUUUGUUGCUAUAUCUUCCCCCUGAUGUUAACAAUAUGCAAUUUUCUUAAUCACUCUAAGAAAGAUAUAAAAUCUCCCUUUUUGUUUGUGAUUCCUGUGAAAAGCAACAUUUUCAGUAGGAUCAGUUCUCACCUAUUUACCCAAAAAACACCUUUUUUAGACAAUUAAGAUAGGAUUAUUUUUUCAUGAAAACUGUGAAAAUUGGUCUUUUCAUUGUCUAAUUUGAUAUUCCUUUUUUUUCGUCCACAGAAAUUAUACUGUGAUAUUGCCAUCCUGCUAAAUUCAAUCUAUUGGAUCUUUGAAAUGAAAUUUACCGUCGAGACUCUUCUUUUUUCUAUUAGUUACACUAUCUUAAAUAUGUUUUCAACACUUUCAACCGGGUUUGAACUUUGUUAUUCAUUUGUAACUUCUAUCUGUAAAUGGUUUCUUACAAAAGCGAUUCUAAAACUCGUUUUGUUUUAAUUGAUAAAAAAUGCUUUGAUGGUCCUUUUUCUUGUUUAUGAUAAGAAUACAUAUGUGCAGUUGUUAUAGAUGUGUGGAUGAUGCUAUAGAUAUUGUAUUGAGUGAGGCGGGACAUUGAAACAAACAAUGAGAAUCAUUGUCAGAUAACGUAGUCAUUUUUUAUGGAUAUGUACGAAUAUAUAUUAUAUAUAUAUUGAUAUACAUUGUAUUAUAUUGAUGAACAUUGUGAAGUAUAAAAAUGAUUUUUAUUUAAUUCUUUAUUUUAAAAAAAUGUGCUUUGACCAAGAUUAUGACAUUUCCUUUUUAUCAGGGUAGUUUUUUUUCAUGUUGGCCGAUAAACAGUUUGUGUCAUCUUGAAUUCUUGUGUCACAUGGGUAUCUCUCUUUUAUACAGGCUAAAACCACACAACAUCUAAUGGAAUAAUAGAACCUAUUAUUAUAUAAUACUGGCUAAAACUACACAACAUCUAAUGGAAUAAUAGAACCUAUUAAGCUUUCACAUGGAGUGAUACUCCCCAUAGCUUUUUUACAUUUCAAUUUUGCACAAAACAAACUUGAAAAUAUAUGGCAAUAGUUAUUAAAAAAAUGUUUUGUUUGUUCGACAACAUUAAGAUAACAUUCUACCCAUUCCAUGUGAACAUCUUUACCCACUCGCACAUUAUAAACUGUGUUAUAUAUAUAAAGGGAGAUAACUCCUCUUUCAUUAUUGCAGGACAUUUAUUAUUUUGUACUUACCAUAGACAGAAAGGUCAUACUUACUGAUAAUCUAGGCCUCUCAUGAUGAUCCCAACAUUUACUUACUUAUAAUCUAGCUCUCAUGAUGAUCCCAACAUAUACUUACUUAUAAUCUAGCUCUCAUGAUGAUCCCAACAUUUACUUACUUAUAAUCUAGCUCUCAUGAUGAUCCCAAAAUUUACUUACUUAUAAUCUAGGCCUCUCAUGAUGAUCCCAACAUUUACUUCAAAAUGGUUAUUGAUCAUAACUUAAGUUUUGGAAGACAAAAACAAAUAUUUUGAAAAGUGUUUUUUUUUUGGUGUUAAAUAGUAUGUCUAAAAAUAGCUGUAAAUACAUGAUACAUUUCAGAAAGAUACGAAGGUUGCAAUAUGUAUUUUCAAAUUUUGAUUAAUGUUAAAAUAAAUGGUUUUUAUUGGUAGGGUAAGAAAUAUCUCAUGGUAGGGUAAGAAAUAUCUCAUGGUAGAGUAAGAAAUAUCUCAUGGUAAAGUAAGAAGUAUCUCAUGGUAGGGUAAGAAAUAUCUCAUGGUAGGGUAAGAAAUAUCUCAUGGUAGAGUAAGAAGUAUCUCAUGGUAAAGUAAGAAAUAUCUCAUGGUAAAGUAAGAAAUAUCUCAUGGUAGGGUAAGAAAUAUCUCAAUAUCUCAUUAAGAGUAAGAAAUAUCUCGUGGUAGAGUAAGAAAUAUCUCAAUUGGGUGUAAAGAAUUCUGAUUAGGCUGGGUUUGCUCACAGUUUUGUUGGUAGUAGGGAAACAUCUUUUACUUUUAACUAAAUACAGAACAAGAUUUAUUUCUGCUCUGAUAUGUAAGUGUUCAGUGUUACUAUAUCUGUUAUAAACAGGACAGGACAUCUGACCCUGUGUAUAUAACCCUGCAUUAACAGAUUGAGAUCCUAUGUGACAACAAGGUACACAUACCUGUUUAUAUAUUGGCUAUGUGCCUAGCACAAAACCAACUCUCAUUUGUAGAUUUCCAUGGAAACCAAAAACACAAAAUGUCAUGUUUACUCACAGGUAAUAUUUACAUCCCUGUGUGAAAACUCCAUGUUAUAUUAACACUUGCAUUUAAUUUCAAAGUUUUAUUUUUUUAAUUGGAUUAUUGCAAGUGUACAUUAAUUCAUUAGCCAUUAUCCUGAUCCGUUCGUUGCCGCAUGUACUGGAGUAGUUGAUAAGUAGUCUGAGGUCACUUGACCUAUUUUGUUAGUGUGUAGGUCAACUCCUGCUGUGCAGGCUCUCAGUUGUUCAAUCAUGUUUAGCGCUAGUAGUUGAGGCACAGGUUUGUUUCCAAGCUUAUCAAGAUACUUCCUUCCUAUACGAGGAAUACAUUCGAUUAUGAUGUCUAGAUUAUAAUAUGAAACAUCCCAAUAGUUUUCAAUGCCAAAUUUGUUCAGAAUUUCAAAGACUAAACUAUUGUGCUGCUGGAAAGAUUAACUCCAUUAUACCUAAGAGAAACUGUCCAUCAUACAGAUGGGUGUUUACUUACUAAACGGUAUGCGUCCCUAGAUAUACCUGGUUCCUAAUUGCACUGUCGUGUUUUAGCAUUGUACAAACAUCAAGGUAAAUAUUAAUGAAAUGUGAUGCCAAAAGAAUGUAAGCUUUAAGGAGAACAUUUCAAUAAUAUGUCAUUUUAUCAAGUUAAUAGGUUAACAGCCAAUCAUUUUCUGAUGUACUGUUUAGUUGGGAAACUAAAGUGUGUUCAUAAAAAGCACCAAUCAGUUAGUACAUAUACUACAAAGCCUGUUUGGAAUAGUGCACGCUUUAAAGCUAAAAUGACACAUGUAUUAAGGCUGUGAUAUUUAAAUUACAACAAUAUUAGCUUUUUUUGUAAUUUUCCUUCAGAUGACGUUAAAUGUGUAUCCCGAAAUUUCAGUGCUGCAGAGUUGAAUAGGAAGCUAUAUUUAAGAGUUUAACAUGUACACUGAAUGAAAAUUGCAUGAAGUAACUGUUAUGUUUCAGAUGUUAAACCUUUUAUAUAUUAUCCUAUAAUGUGGAUGUUUCCUGGCUGUAACGGAAAGAUACCCGAGAGAAAUCAAACUUUUUUUCGCUCAACACAAAGCUUGUUAAAAUGAUUAAUGGCUCACGUGACAACAACGAUAUGUUUUGAUCAAUAUAAAACAAUGCCUAUUUUACAUCUGUAGUAUAGUGUUUUUCAACAUUCUUAGUGGAGACUGAUUACUGACGCCAAAAAUUUACAUGAAAUCAAAAACAUGUUGUCAGUUGAUUUUGAAUUCAUUACAGUCAUAUAUUAUUCAUUUAAGAUAGAUUAUACAUGGAUUAAUUCUUCAAUUUAAGAAAAGAAAGGAAGAUGUAAGAUGAAACAAUCAAAACAUUGAUUGAUCCCAAUAGUCUCUCGGCACAUACCGGUAUACUAAUUGAUGUAAGUAGUUAAACAUUCAACUUAUGUGUUUUAGUAAAACACAUUUUCCAAUUAUAAUUCAUAAUGUUAUUAAAUUAUUUUAAGGAAAAGGGAGGUUUUUGAAUUAUAUAGGAAAACCAAAACAAUAAAAUAUAGCUUUAACAUAUUAAAAAUGACGCUGUAUUACUCUGUGCAAAUGAAAUGCUAGUAUCAAUUUCAACAGAAACAUUUAUUACUGGAUAAAUCCAAGUUAAUGUAAUUGUAGUAGGUAUAAUCGGAUACUUGUAAUUACCCAAACUAAGUGCAUCCUUCUGAGUGGCAGGACCACUAAUACGACAAAGGGUGCAAAAUAAAUACUACCAACAACUUGUAACAUAAAUGGGAGAGGCAUAUAAGGGAAACAUGUUCAUAUACAAUAUAGAAUUAAUAACCUUACGUGCUAUUCUGUGACAUUUAGUAAUAGUGACACGAUCAAAAUACCAAAAUAUUAACAUAAUUUUCUGCAAUUCACGUGUAAGAAUUCUUGUGACAUGGAUUCAAUUUAAAACAUUGAUAGCUGGGAAAUUAAUUUCUCCUAUUUAGUUUUACCACAUCUUUUCAUUCAUCAAUUAGUUCAUAGAUAAACCUCAUUAAUUUAAGAUUAACUCUACCUCAUUUCCCCUAACGCACAGUAGUCUUAUUUGUAUUGUACAUGUCCAGAUAAUAUUGCAUAAUAAAAUCUGUAUCAGUCAUUAUAUAGUGAAUGUUGAUAAAAUCAUUUUGUAUUAAAGCCGACAGAUUCAUGCUUCACAUGUCAGCAGUAUUUGAUUCUAGUGGUCUGUUAUCAAUGUUGAUGUGAAGCAAGAAAAGAAAAUAUUUGGCAGAUACCAGGUAUAAAACUAGCUGUUAUAUUCUAACAUACUCGCAAGCUGAACUUCAUGGUCUUAAUCUAUUAUUUAUUGCAAUAUUUCGUAAUUUCAUUGAGAAUUUAGGAAAAACAACAACAAUUUUUUCGCGAAAAUAAACUUUGCCUUCUAGGUUGCAGUUAUGGAUUAGAAGCUGCCGCUUUCUAGUUUCCCCAACCUUUAUUGGAGAAUAAACCUGCCAAAACAGGUGUUUAAAGUCCUUUCUUCUUUCCAACCAUUAUUCAUUAGUUAAUGCUGCUUUCUAUAGCGUUUGCUUUAAUUAUUUUGAAGUAAAAAGAGUGCUCGAUAUUUUCCGCAGGGAAGGCAAUGAGCAAAUCUGAGAUUUGUUCAUUUUGAGGGAAAGUAUUUUAAUGUAUGUAUAUAUUGUAUUUGAAAUCAUCAGUGAAACUGAUUAGCAAUCAUGCGAGCGGAACACUGUUUACUUUUCGUAUAGAAACAAUAAACAGAUUUGACAUCUAGUUACUAGAUGAACUAUAUACACGUUAGAUAUUGUCCCUAGUCCCAUUUUCUCUCAAAAUCUUGAACUCCUGCAUUGAAUGCCUCCAAUUAUUUUCACCAUUGUACUUUUAUUAAUGAGUUGUUAUUUCAUUAAUAAUAUUUCCUAAUUCACUGGAGAAAAUUACCAAUUUUACUAUAUAAAAGAUCAUAUGUUAACUCAAUUUAAAUAUUCAUUUAUAUGUCAUUUUGAUGAUAAAAUGAAAUUUAGUUUGGCAUAAGUUUGAAAAUGAAGAAAAGCUGAAGCCCAAAACUGCAGGGUUUUUUUGUAGAGAAAUCGGGGCAAGGUGUACAAAAGCUUUGGUGUUUGUUUUUGUUGAUAUCUGUUACUGAUUGUAAAGCUGUUAUAUAGAUACCUGGCUCCGGAACACCUGUCCUGUAUUGUGUUUCCUUAGGCUAGGAGUAUCGGUAUCUUUGUUGUUGUGUUGACAGUAAAAUGAUAAAUACUGGACAGGCCAUAGCUUCAGAUUAAGUGCUGCAUACAUAUGUCAUUAGUUCAUUGAUGAUAUGAUAUUCAUUCAUUCCUUCAUUAUGUCAUUGAACCAUCAGAUCGUACCAUUGUUACAGACGAGGGUAUGUCGCAGUGAAUGUAAUCAUGGUGACAUUGUUUCAAUCUAUAUUGCAUAACAAUCUUUUAUUAUGAAUGUUUUUUACUUAAAUAUUUAAAAAAUAGAUCACUUUUUUUUCUAUUCAAACAAAAUAUGAGUAUGUUAAAUAUAUUUAAUAAAACAAAAACUAAGAAUGUAUUAAUUUGACAAAUGUCAAAGUUUUUCAAUAAUAUAUAUAAUUGAUAUGCCAGAACAGUACGAGAUGUUCUGCUGUAAAAUUUCACUACAUAUUCGUUGUCAUAUUGUGUCACCAAGGUAACUUGAUAAUACUUUCCAAUCGCUGCCUUGGUGACGUACGUGGCAUAUCACCAUGGUUACAUUCUCGUCCAUUGUUGUUUAUUUUCAUGUUUCCCACUGGUGCUAGUAAACCCGGUGGCUAUUACCUCAGCCGAUCAUGUUGUCUAUUAUGUCAUUAUUACGUGGAUUAAAGAAGCUUUAAUACAAUAA